rnacentral:lncRNA from 1 species
AACUAAUAGAUUGCAAGAAAUCUUAAAAACCCUCACUGGACCUAAAAUUCCACUUUCUAAGACCUUGACCCACUUAAACCUCAAUAACCCUCAAUCCAACCAUUAGAUCAAGCUAAAAUUUACAACACAUAUUAAGCAAAAUUAUAAUCUAUUACAAAAUUCUUGAAAUCGCCUAAAUCGUCAAUUGUAUUUUAUUUCACAAAACCCAAGUCAUCCAAAAACAAACUUGA